rnacentral:rRNA from 1 species
UACGUAGGCAGCAAGCGUUGUUCGGAAUUACUGGGCGUAAAGCGCACGUAGGCGGCUUUGUAAGUUAGAGGUGAAAGCCCGGGGCUCAACUCCGGAAUUGCCUUUAAGACUGCAUCGCUAGAAUUGUGGAGAGGUAAGUGGAAUUCCGAGUGUAGAGGUGAAAUUCGUAGAUAUUCGGAAGAACACCAGUGGCGAAGGCGACUUACUGGACACAUAUUGACGCUGAGGUGCGAAAGCGUGGGGAGCAAACAGG